AUACAUAGGGGGCAAGCGUUAUCCGGAUUUACUGGGCGUAAAGGGAGCGUAGACGGAAGGCCAAGUCUGAUGUGAAAGCCCGCGGCUCAACCGCGGCAUGGCAUUGGAAACUGGCGGGCUGGAGUGCAGGAGGGGCAAGCGGAAUUCCCGGUGUAGCGGUGGGAUGCAUAGAGAUUGGGAGGAACACCAGUGGCGAAGGCGGCCUGCGGGACAUCCACUGACGCUGAGGAGCGAAAGUGUGGGGAGCAAACAGGAUUAGAUCCCCUGGUAGUCCUCACCGUAAACGAGGGAUACUAGGUGUGCGGGGACUGACCCCCUGCGUGCCGGAGUUAACACAUUAAGUAUCCCACCUGGGGAGUACGAUCGCAAGAUUGAAACUCAAAUGAAUUGGCGGGG
rnacentral:rRNA from 1 species